rnacentral:lncRNA from 1 species
AUUUCUUGGGCCACUCCUGCGGUAUAUGGAGGUUCCCAGGCUAGGGGUCCAAGUGGAGCCAUAGCCACCGGCCUACACCAGAGCCACAGCAACGCGGGAUCCGAGCCGCAUCUGCGACCUACACCACAGCUCACGGCAAUGCCAGAUCGUUAACCCACUGAGCAAGGGCAGGGAUCGAACCCGCAACCUCAUGGUUCUUAGUCGGAUUCGUUAACCACUGCGCCACGACGGGAAUUCCUAUAAUUUGUUUCUUUAUUCACCUACUGACAGACAUUUUGUUCUCAGUUUGAGGCUGUUUGUAAAUAAAGUACAUUCAUGCAGAAAUCUUUGUAAAGACCAUUUUUCAUUUCUUCUGUGCAAGUACCUAGUAGUGGAAUGGAAUGGUUAAGGCUUAAUUAACUUUAGAAGAAACUACCUGCUUUUCAAAGUAGGUAUAGCAUCUUACAUUCCCAUCUAUGGUAUAUGAGAGUCCCAAUCCCUACACAUCCUUGCUAAUACUUGGUAUGAUCAAAUGUUUCUUCUAGACAUUCGAAGAGUUGUAUGGGGCAUCUCAUUGUGCUUAAAAAACUUGGAAACAUUGACAUUUUCAGGUCGUGCUUUUAACAUCUGUUAGGUGGGUCCAGAGUAGUGGUCAGUCUAGAGCUAAUCAUUCCCCAAUACUAAGACUGAACACUUCUGAAUGCUUUAUGUAAGUGUCAUAUAUUAUGAGGUUUUCUAGGCUUGUUGGUGGGAAUCUGUGCUAUUCCCAGUCUUCCAGGAGGAAGAGUAUAACCAAUCCCAGUUAUUCCAUCUUGGCAAGAAGCUGAAGACUUCAAGUGGUUUUUUGAUCUUCUUCUUUAGUAGUUCAGGCCAAGUAAAUUCAAAUUUCACUUUGGAAAAUGAGAACUAGAGCCAUUAUUUUCUUGGAUUUGACCAAAACAAAACAGAUAAUUUCAUUUAACAUGUCACUGCAUGGACAAUGGAUGGCUCCCUCUGGGUUUUGUUUGGCUAAGUUUCCGUAAAUAACUGUCUGACUACAGCACAGGGUGAUGGCUCUCUAGCUAAUGAUGAUGAGUCAUGUAUAACCAGUUUAUUCUGGCCCAUAACUUCCUAUGGUAUGUUCUUAUUUAUACAGUGACUCCAAUAUAUUUGUAAAAUUUACAGUUCGAACUUGGAUUGAAUAAGUGUAAUAAAAAGUAAAUCCUGAGUAGGGGUAGAAGCAAGGCACAGUGAAGGCCAUAUUCUUUUGGAGUCAUUCAGGCUUGAAUUUGCAUUCUGUUUCAUCACUUACUAGUGUCUCCAGUUGAGCAACUUAACCUUUCUGAGCUUCUAAGAAAGCAAACUGCAUUCAAACAAGGGAAACAGGUUCACAAUUAGCUAGUAAAGUAUGAUGAUAUACUGUAAUGCACUGUUUCCAUGUAAUGUAUAUAAUGCAUUUCCACAUAGUGUAUAUAACAAUAUUGUAAGUUACUAAGAUAUAAAAUAAUUAUAAUGUAUUUUAAGAAGAAUUAUAAUAUAUUUUAAGAAUUAUGAUGAUGAUGAUGACAAUACAAUUUUUAGAUAAAACGAUAAUAAGAAAUUGCCAUUACUAUAAACUCUCUGUACUUGAGUAAUUUGAGAGCACAUUUCCUCAAGCCUUUUUGCUCCUAACAUGACUGUCAGAUUUCCUUUCCUAACUUUCCCAUCUGUAGAGUGGGAACAAUAGUGGUACAGAAUAUAGGUCAAAUAAGACAAUUCUUAUGAAGCACUUAGCAUGAUACUCAAAUCUUUGCUCUAAUUAUUUUCUAUACACUGAGACAUUCACACAAUAGUGCUUUGGAUCAAGGCAAGUUAAGAACUUAAAAAUUCUUUUACUGGGAUCACCACAAGUUGUAGACCAAUUUAAUUGCUUCAAAUAAAAUAAGAACCACAGAUAGUAUAGUAUAGAGUAUAUACCUUAAAGGAUGUACACCAUGUUGCUGGGGUAAUUAAUUAAAACUCUUAAUUAAAACUGCCUGUUUCAAAUGAAAAUGUAUUUGGGAGCCAUUAUAAAAAUAGUGGGUUUAAUUUUGCUUAUUAUACUUACUAAGUAAAGUCUGAAAAAAAUAUUAAAAGAACCAAAAGUUGUUAAGAAUCUUUAUAUUUUAAAUUCUUCGGGUACAGCUGAAGUCAUAAUUCCUUAAUCAGAAUCUAAAUUUCUUAACAAUAAGGACUGUUUAUUGUUCAUCAUUAUCUAUUACUUCUAAGUAACACAUAAAUGUAUGGUGAAUUGACCAGAUAGUGGAUACCUUUUUUUCCCCUCCAUCUUAAAAAAUCACAUGUAAGUAGAAAAUUAUUGAUUACCUAAAUAGGGAGUUCCCACCAUGGAGCAGCAGAAACGAAUCCAACCAGGAACCAUGAGGUUGUGGGUUCCACCCCUGACCUCUCUCAGCGGGUUAAGGAUCUGGCAUUGCCGUAAGCUGUGGGGUAGGUUGCAGAGUGGCUUGAAUCUGGCGUUGCUGUGGCUGUGGUCUAAGCCGGCAGCUACAGCUCUGAUUAGACCCCUAGCCUGGGAA